UACAGAGGGGGCAAGCGUUGUUCGGAAUUACUGGGCGUAAAGGGCGCGUAGGCGGCCCCUUUUGUCGCGUGUGAAAGCCCCGGGCUCAACCUGGGAAUGGCAAUGGAUACUGGCAAGCUAGAGUGCGGUAGAGGGUAGUGGAAUUCCCGGUGUAGCGGUGAAAUGCGUAGAGAUCGGGAGGAACACCAGUGGCGAAGGCGGCUACCUGGACCAGCACUGACACUGAGGCACGAAAGCGUGGGGAGCAAACAGG
rnacentral:rRNA from 1 species